rnacentral:rRNA from 1 species
AGGAUGAACGCUGACAGAAUGCUUAACACAUGCAAGUCAACUUGAACUUCGGUUUGGGUGGCGGACGGGUGAGUAACGCGUAAAGAACUUGCCUCACAGAUAGGGACAACAUUUGGAAACGAAUGCUAAUACCUGAUAUUAUGAUUUUAGGGCAUCCUAGGAUUAUGAAAGCUAUAUGCGCUGUGAGAGAGCUUUGCGUCCCAUUAGCUAGUUGGAGAGGUAACGGCUCACCAAGGCGAUGAUGGGUAGCCGGCCUGAGAGGGUGAUCGGCCACAAGGGGACUGAGACACGGCCCUUACUCCUACGGGAGGCAGCAGUGGGGAAUAUUGGACAAUGGACCAAGAGUCUGAUCCAGCAAUUCUGUGUGCACGAUGAAGUUUUUCGGAAUGUAAAGUGCUUUCAGUUGGGAAGAAAAAAAUGACGGUACCAACAGAAGAAGUGACGGCUAAAUACGUGCCAGCAGCCGCGGUAAUACGUAUGUCACAAGCGUUAUCCGGAUUUAUUGGGCGUAAAGCGCGUCUAGGUGGUUAUGUAAGUCUGAUGUGAAAAUGCAGGGCUCAACUCUGUAUUGCGUUGGAAACUGUGUAACUAGAGUACUGGAGAGGUAAGCGGAACUACAAGUGUAGAGGUGAAAUUCGUAGAUAUUUGUAGGAAUGCCGAUGGGGAAGCCAGCUUACUGGACAGAUGCUGACGCUGAAGCGCGAAAGCGUGGGUAGCAAACAGGAUUAGAUACCU